AUCCAGCCGAUGAGUCCCAAAUAAGACGAAAUGCACAUCCUGGAU
rnacentral:hammerhead_ribozyme from 1 species